rnacentral:rRNA from 1 species
AUUGAACGCUGGCGGCAGGCCUAACACAUGCAAGUCGAGCGGCAGCGGGGGAAAGCUUGCUUUCCCGCCGGCGAGCGGCGGACGGGUGAGUAAUGUCUGGGAAACUGCCUGAUGGAGGGGGAUAACUACUGGAAACGGUAGCUAAUACCGCAUAACGUCUUCGGACCAAAGUGGGGGACCUUCGGGCCUCAUGCCAUCAGAUGUGCCCAGAUGGGAUUAGCUAGGAGGUGGGGUAACGGCUCACCUAGGCGACGAUCCCUAGCUGGUCUGAGAGGAUGACCAGCCACACUGGAACUGAGACACGGUCCAGACUCCUACGGGAGGCAGCAGUGGGGAAUAUUGCACAAUGGGCGCAAGCCUGAUGCAGCCAUGCCGCGUGUAUGAAGAAGGCCUUCGGGUUGUAAAGUACUUUCAGCGGGGAGGAAGGUGUUGUGGUUAAUAACCAGAGCAAUUGACGUUACCCGCAGAAGAAGCACCGGCUAACUCCGUGCCAGCCGCCGCCGUAA